AUUCAGCCUGAUCCUCCAAUGCAGUGCUGGGUGAAUGCUGCACUGUUAGAGAUGCUGUCUUUUGGAUGAGACAUUAGAGUGAGUCUCAGUAGCCUUCUCAGAUAGAUGCAAAAGGUCCCAUGGCACAAUUUUAGACAGAAAUAGCGACAGCGUCCCUAGUGUUACAGUAAAAGAUUACUCCUCAACCCAAAUCACAAAAGCAAAUUACCAGGUCAUUACUACUUGCUGCUUCGAUGAGCUUGCUGCCCACAUAUUGGUGCUGCAUUUCCUGCAAUUGAUCAGCAACUGCACUACAUUGAUAUGUAUUGGGACAUCUUAUGUUCAUGAAAUGCAUUGUAUGAAUGUAAGUUUGUUUAGAUUUGGAGGACCAGCGUUACAUUGUCCCUGCACUUCUCCUGGUGGGAUGGAUCGUGGGCUGUUCUGUGGUCGUUUAUUACAUUUUCUCCUGAGAGUGUUGGACACAGCAGCAGAAGAAAAACG